AACAAUGUCAGGGCGUGGAGAGGGGACACUGCCUUGGGGGGUGACCUGGCGUCCCCCUGGGGUUGGUGUCUGAGUCGGCUGCUGGCAGGAUGCGGAAAACCAUCUGCUGUAACUGAAGGAUGGAGGUGAGACCACGCGAAGGACCUACGGGUUUGGUGUAGGACCAAGAGGGUUCUGCUCCAUGCUGGGGUACCGUGGAACACAGACAGUCUCUGUCCCCUGGCGUCUUGACCCUGGUGGGGCUGGGCAGUAGAGUGACUCAGCAAUUAUAGAUGAUGACUCUUAUAAUUACAAGUGGAAGCACAUGAAUGAGGCGCAUCCUGAAGGAGGGGCCGGUGGGCAGGAGUAAUAUUUUCCCUUGUUCCUCAGUGAAAACGUGCUCAUUCUCAGCGGGCCCAGCGUCAGUCGGAGCCAGAGGAGCUGAGGCCGGCUGUUCUCCGUGUCAGUCCUGGCUCCUGCUUCCUCUCCCAAGGCCUGCCCUUCACCCGCCGGCUGCUGCUGUUUCCAGGGGGACAGCGAGACACUGAGCGGACGCGCCCGAGACAAACAGCCGCCAGAGGGCGGCAGAGCCGGCGUCAAACCCGGUUCCCUUCCUGGACUCAGUGGAGCAGUUAAAAAAAUUAUUUGCAUUAUUUA